UGUUUUCUUUUUUUCAUUUUAUUAUUGUCUUACUUUUCUGUCUUCGUAUUUUCACAUAUAUUUUAAAUUUCAAUUUCCAGUUUUCCAUUAUUAAAAAGUAUACCUCCAACUGAUUUUGUACAUGUAAGUGGUGCCUUACAAGCUUGCUAAAUUCAGGUCUAAGUUCUAGAGAUUUUAGGCUUUUAGAGAUUUGCGUUUUCUCUGAAAAUCAUCAUGCUGUCUGCAAAUAAAGAAUAUUUGACUUUUACCUUCUAAUCUGUACUUAGUUUCUUUUUGCCACCUUACUGCACUUAGUGUGGCCUUCCGUAAAAAUCAGAUGGACACUGCAAAAGUAGGCACACUUCUGUUGCUUACACCUUAGGUAGAAAGCAUUCGGUCCUUUGGUAUUAAAUAUGAGAUUUAAGCUAGAAGUUUGAUGUACAUGUCUUUUAUCAGUUGAGAAAGUGCUUAUCUAUUUCUAGUUUUCGGAGAAUUUUUGUCAUAAGUAAUUGUUGAAUUUAGCUCAAUGCUUUUUCUCUAAGCACUGAGAGGAUUGUAGCACAUUUUCUUUUUCCUGUUCAUGAUGUAUCUUAUACUGGUAGAUUUUUGGUGCUGAAAGAAUCCUUCAAGAAACCCACUUCAUACAUUUUGCUGUGUUUGAUUUCCUAAUGACUUGCUCACAGUUUUUCCUACUUGUAACAUACUGAUCUGAUUGUAGUAUUAGGGUAAUGCUGGUCACCUAAAAUGAACUUAGAUGUGUCCUUUUCUCUCCACUCUAUUUUAAGUGUUUGAUAAAACUCACCAGGUAAAACAUACACAGGUUUGAUGUUUUUGUUGUUACUUUUGUCUUUUAUGUGGGUUUUUCAACUAGGAAUAUAUUUUGCUGUAAAUUUAGUGCCCCUUAAACCUCAUGUUUUUCUCAUCGGUUUCGCUUCAUUGUCUUUCAAGGAAUUCAUUCAUUUCCUCAAAGUUGCCAAAUUUAUUUCUAAAAGAUGUUUGUAAUAUACAUUCUAUGUGGCGUUUUCUAGGUUUUUUUGUGUGUGAAGGUCCUAGGGCUUUAACUCAGGGUCUGGGCACUAUCCCUGAGCUGUUGUACUCAAGCACCCUACCACUUGAGCCACAGCUCCACUUUCGGCUUUUUGGUGAUAAACUGGAGGUAAGGAUCUGACAGACAUUGCUGCCUGGGCUGUCUUCUUCAAUUGCCAUCCUCAGAUCUCAGCCUCCUAAGUAACUAGGUAUGACCCACCAGUGUCCUUUCUGUUUUUUAAGUUCUGUCGAAGCUGUAGUGAUGCCCUCUCUAUGAAUUUGGAUACUAUCAUUAGUAAU